AAACUUGAGAGUUUGAUCCUGGCUCAGAACGAACGCUGGCGGCAGGCUUAACACAUGCAAGUCGAGCGCCUCGCAAGAGGAGCGGCAGACGGGUGAGUAACGCGUGGGAAUCUACCCAUCUCUACGGAACAACUCCGGGAAACUGGAGCUAAUACC
rnacentral:rRNA from 1 species